AUUGAACGCUGGCGGCAUGCCUUACACAUGCAAGUCGAACGGCAGCAUGAUCUAGCUUGCUCGAUUGAUGGCGAGUGGCGCACGGGUGAGUAAUACAUCGGAACGUGCCCUGUAGUGGGGGAUAACUAGUCGAAAGAUUAGCUAAUACCGCAUACGACCUGAGGGUGAAAGUGGGGGACCGCAAGGCCUCAUGCUAUAGGAGCGGCCGAUGUCUGAUUAGCUAGUUGGUGAGGUAAAGGCUCACCAAGGCGACGAUCAGUAGCUGGUCUGAGAGGACGAUCAGCCACACUGGGACUGAGACACGGCCCAGACUCCUACGGGAGGCAGCAGUGGGGAAUUUUGGACAAUGGGCGAAAGCCUGAUCCAGCAAUGCCGCGUGUGUGAAGAAGGCCUUCGGGUUGUAAAGCACCUUUGUCCGGAAAGAAAUGGCUCUGGUUAAUACCUGGGGUCGAUGACGGUACCGGAAGAAUAAGGACCGGCUAACUACGUG
rnacentral:rRNA from 1 species